rnacentral:rRNA from 1 species
GAUGAACGCUGGCGGCGUGCCUAAUACAUGCGAGUCGAGCGAACAGAUGAGGAGCUUGCUCCUCUGACGUUAGCGGCGGACGGGUGAGUAACACGUGGAUAACCUACCUAUAAGACUGGGAUAACUUCGGGAAACCGGAGCUAAUACAGGAUAAUAUAUUGAACCGCAUGGUUCAAUAGUGAAAGACGGUUUUGCUGUCACUUAUAGAUGGAUCCGCGCCGCAUUAGCUAGUUGGUAAGGUAACGGCUUACCAAGGCGACGAUGCGUAGCCGACCUGAGAGGGUGAUCGGCCACACUGGAACUGAGACACGGUCCAGACUCCUACGGGAGGCAGCAGUAGGGAAUCUUCCGCAAUAGGCGAAAGCCUGACGGAGCAACGCCGCGUGAGUGAUGAAGGUCUUCGGAUCGUAAAACUCUGUUAUUAGGGAAGAACAAAUGUGUAAGUAACUAUGCACGUCUUGACGGUACCUAAUCAGAAAGCCACGGCUAACUACGUG